CGAGUCGUACGUAUACGUAGUUGUAUCUAGUGCACAGAGACGCUGGCGGCAGGCUUAACACAUGCAAGUCGAACGCUCGUAGCAAUACGGGAGUGGCGGACGGGUGAGUAACGCGUGGGAACGUGCCCUGAGGUACGGAAUAACUGCGGGAAACUGCAGCUAAUACCGUAUGAGCCCCGCAAGGGGGAAAGAUUUAUCGCCUUGGGAGCGGCCCGCGUCGGAUUAGCUAGUUGGUGGGGUAACGGCCUACCAAGGCUUCGAUCCGUAGCUGGUCUGAGAGGACGAUCAGCCACACUGGGACUGAGACACGGCCCAGACUCCUACGGGAGGCAGCAGUGGGGAAUCUUGCGCAAUGGGGGCAACCCUGACGCAGCCAUGCCGCGUGAAUGAUGAAGGCCUUAGGGUUGUAAAGUUCUUUUGCCCGUGACGAUGAUGACGGUAACGGGAGAAUAAGCUCCGGCUAACUUCGUG
rnacentral:rRNA from 1 species